rnacentral:tRNA from 1 species
AACAAGACGGAAGAGAGUCACUCUUACCGUCGCGCAUACCAAAAGCGGGUCUGCCGCCUUCGUUUCUCUUUCUUCAGCGAAUGACUUUGGAUCAGCGCUCGCGCGCCGUACCGCACCCUUCGGGUGCUGGCGCUCCGCGAGGGCGCGGCACGAGCCGCGACGGCCACCAGUUUUAGUUAGGUUUGGCGGCCUUGCGAGGCUCUGCCUCGAAGCUGAUCGCCAUCUGCGCUUGGGGCUAAGGGCUUGUAGCUCAGUUGGUUAGAGCGCGCGCUUGAUAAGCGUGAGGUCGGAGGUUCAAGUCCUCCCAGGCCCACCAUCUCCUCGAUCGCCAUGUUCGGGAAACACUAUCAGGGGCCGUAGCUCAGCUGGGAGAGCGCCUGCUUUGCAAGCAGGAUGUCGUCGGUUCGAUCCCGUCCGGCUCCACCAACCAUCUUCUGCGAAGAUGGGGUGUUGAGUAGAGGCGGUGAGAAAAAAGUCAUUCGAAAAAGAGUUUGCGCCGAGCUUCUUGGCUCUGCGCCUGUUCUGUUUGACAUCGUAAAGAGAAGAUUUGUUCGAACUUCAUGGGUUCCGAAAGGGCCAUGAUUUGUCGCAAGGGACGCUCAAUCCCUUGCCUAUGAUGGGUUUGCCUAACCGCGCCCUCGAACCGAUCUCGAGAAGCUGGUCUUUUUGUG